AAAGUCGUAACAAGGUUUCCGUAGGUGAACCUGCGGAAGGAUCAUUACAUUCAGUAGAUUUCUACUGCUGAGAAAGGGGCGGAAAGUGACCCCAGUUGCCUUUGGUAGCUGGCUAACAAGUACGCCCUUUGUCUGUACCCUUGUCUUUUUGCGUACUCAUGUUUCCUCGGCAGGCUUGCCUGCCGGCCGGACAACCUAAAAACCUUUUCAAUUUUCAAUCAGCGUCUGAAUAAUUAUAAUAAUUACAA
rnacentral:misc_RNA from 1 species